UGCCAACCAAAUACUUUCUUCUGAGGUCGGAAUAAUUUUGGUGACAUCUGCACCUAUUUCGACCCUAACCGUCGACUCCCGAGAAGAAAUCAUCGAGCGACCUUAGCCUUCCAAGACUUCUGCUCGGACUGAGUCUUCUAAGGAGGCUGACGAUGAUGAGGCUCUUCUCGAUGAUAUUUCAAAGGAUCUAUUUUUUUAAGACUAGAAGGCAGUCUGAAAAACUAUCGAGAACUUGAUAAUUCUAGAAGAGUUGAC
rnacentral:lncRNA from 1 species